UUUAUACUGACGAAGUAUAAAUUUUGAGCUAAAUAGGGUUAUGGUUCCGUGAAAUCUGCAAUAACUUGGCUAUACGCAGUACAUGAUCAAACUUUGCAUUCAUACUUAUCUAAGUUAUGAAAAAAAAGAAAGGAUACGACAGUUAUCUAGUGCCAUUUUUCGUCCAUUCACCCGCAUGCUAUCAGUAGCUGUAUUCUGUAACCUACGGAACGCCGUUUGAUCCAUUUUUUUAUAGACAGCUUUUAUCGCUAGCUGAUCGUUUAUGUAGCAAAUAAAUAGCUAACUAGCAUUGCCAUCUAACGGUAAAAAAUGACACUAAUAGAAGGGAUUUGAAUAGACCACGCCUUCAACGAAGGAGGAGUCCACUACAUACUGAAUUUAUCGAUCGAUUGUUAGGCCCAUUUCGAUCGCUACUGUACAGUCAAUGGCGGCGAAGCGCAUUGUAAGUUUGUAACUUGGAAGUGUAUGCAUGUGCGACUUGAUGUGGCGUUGCAUGUGGGGGGCCUCGUUGCCAGUACUCUUGAGUGAUGGUGACAUAUGGUAUCUUACUGACUUCUAUUGGUUUUAUUUGUGGAAAGAAUAUCUUGAGUGGAAAAAUUGGAUCACAAUUGACUACAUGUUUUACUAUUUUAAAUGAGUUUAUCACAAAGAAUUUUUUACUCAUUCAUGUUCUGUUUCUGUAAUGUAGGUAGAAUAAUCGCAAUGUCGUGGUAGUAAUUCGCGAGAGAUAUGCCAAUAGGGUUUCCCUAUUGACAUACGGAUACAGGCCUGUUUUCAAUUCACAAUCAUAAUGGAUUCAAAGAGGAUAUUGAUGGAGUUUUGGUAUAAAAAAGUACAUGCUCGUUGGAAGGGCAACCAAAGAGUUCCGGAUCCUUUUACUAUUGCACAUAUUAUGUGUGUGUAAAACUAAAGGCUAAAAGAAGAAGAAGAAUGAUUCAAAAAUUCUGGGAGAGAAUUAUCAAAGAAUUAUACUCGUUUAGCUCUUUUUACUGUGCAUGGAACUUUUUUGGUCGAGACCUUAUGGGUGUCUUAAAGGCACUGAAGGUUGCGUUAGAUGUCAUAAUCCACAACAAAAAGGAAACGCUGAAAAUCCCAGGUGACGAUGGGAGUUAGUGGCAAUGUUACGGUGUAGAUAACUUCAGAAAGUGUUACGCUAGCUGAUGUACACCGCCUAGCAGGAAAAGGUUGUGAGAGUAGCAGAAGAAGAGGAAAUUGCAGUAAACCUGCUUUUGAAAGAAGCCAAACAUUCCGAUGAUAUGGGAGCCCAGCCUGUGGAAACAAAAACCCUAUGUUUCAGAUAGAAAGACCAAAGGAACACGUCGUUCCUCAGCUACUUCUGAGGGCCACUGUCACCGAAAGAAAAUCACCUCGCUUAUAGACUCGGAAGGUGAAAGCGAGAUCCAAAAAUUUGCGACAACGAAGCAAGUAAAAAGUCCUCCACCGUCACAGACCACAAUGUGUAAAUGCGUCACAUCCGGGAAAUUAAUACUGCAGUAACCAGAGCGAUAAAAAAAUUGGCACCAACUCGUACAUAUCAGAUUUUGUCGCAACGCAUUCAAGAAUGGAGCUUAACAGCUUGCAGGACUGAAGAAAAUGAUAAAAAAGAAUUAGAACAAAUUUGUUGGAACAAAACAAACCACGGGAAGCUCAGGAAGAGCUGGAUCUUAAACAAAAGUGCUCAAAAGGAACUAGAUAACAACAGCAAAGGCUAAAAAAUUUGUGGUUGACAUAAACUUUCGCGAAGAAGCAGUUAAAGUAGGCGAAAGGGAAUCGAGUGCGCUACUGUCCCGUGCGUCACUUGCGGCAUCAGUAUUGCGGCCAGUAAGGCAUCCGACACAUGGGGGGAUGUUUCAACAAAUCUAACAAACGGGGUUCGAUUCAAUCUUUUAAACCAAGCAGUAAUAAGUUACGCGGCGGUUACAAUCCCAGUAACCAAAUACACUGGAGGCGACUUCGUGCAUUAAGUCCGUUGCAUUGCAAAAAUCUUGAUAAGAAAACUGAUGUAGGCUAUCGGUAUCCUGUAGUACGAGAAGUUUACCGAUAGAGAUCAUGUGUAGAUGAGAUGAUAUAGUCACCACCGACUCCGUUUUUAACGGUAUUCCUCUCAACAGACGGCGUUAGCUGUAAUAGGUAUUUAACAUAGGUUUUGAGGUGGUUCAGAAACGUUUAACACGUUUUGCAACUAGACAUCAUUUGAAUGGUGCAGUUCCUAUCUGCAGCCCUGCAGUGUGCAAAAAUAGAUGGUGGAAAAAAUCUGCUCAUCAUGCUGAUCUGCACAAUGCCAGCUUCAUUAAGCAAUCUUGAAAUGACCUAUGAACAGACUACACAGUAUUAAAAGACUCUUCCCUUAAAGAAAUUUGUAGCCGUGGACUCUCUUUAGAAGACUCUUGUAUGAAAUAUUUGCAUGCUUCUUGGAACAAGGAACAUAAGAUGUCUUGAUGACAACCAAGUGUCCCUGGAAAGAUUGGAAAAAGAUGUUUAAGCAGGAAAUAUCUUAAGUUGGAGGAUGGCACAUUUUUUGUUUCCCAUUACUAGUUUUGUAAAAACAAAUGGUAAAUUGGUGAAAUGAAACAACACAUGACAUAUUACUUUAGAUCAAUUGUUUUCACAAGUGGAGAUUGAUUCCACAAUCUUCAGCUUCCCAGACAGACACCCAUCCACAAGGCCAUGGGUGAUAGAUGAUAUAAAAAAAUUUAAAAAAAAAUUUACAUUUUAGGUUAUUGAUUGCAGAGUCAGAGAACAAUGUGUAAAACCUGAUAUUCAAGCCCUUGAAACCCCAGCUGCCCUUAUGCUUCAACAAGGGUAUAAAGCUAUUAUAAUUUCACGAGUUAAACAUUGAAACCAAAAACAAAUCGGGAAUUUUUUAGUUGGCUUUUUUGUUUAAUGAUAUUGUUACACUUUACUUUAGAAAACAUGGAAGUGUAUACAUAUAUUCAGGGUCAAGUUAAUGAAAUGGUUCAGCCGAAAAUGAAUUUUACAUUACUUUUGAACAGAUCCCAACUCAGUUUACGCAGCGGAUGGGGCAUCCGCUGCCCCCCUACUGAUGAUACUGAACGCCAUCUUUAUGGAGUCCAGUUCCAUCCUGAAGUUGAUUUUACUGAAAACAAAUUACAGGACGAAAAAUGUUGCAUAAUUUCUUGUUCGACAUCUGUGGAUUGCAAGGAGUUUUUCACAUUGGAGAAAUGCGACCAGCAGUGUAUCCAUACGUCCGGUCGGACGUAGUAAGAUCGGGCUUAUACUGGUAAGCGGCGGAUUCGAUUCCGCCGUUUGUGCUGCCCUUCUCCAUAAAGCACUUCUACAGAGUGGCGACUCGUCGCGAGUGCAUGACAUCCAUAUCGAUAACGGUUUCCUGCGUAAAGACGAAUCCGAGCAAGUCGUCACUAGUUUACAGCAAGUCGGGCUCAACCUUCGGCUAAUUUGAGAUACUUUUCUGAUUUAAGAACGUUGCGUAUGCAAAUUAUCUCCGCCACUCUUUACAGGACACGGAAGCGGAAUUGUAUCACUGACCAGAUUUAGAUGGGAUAUAUUAGAAUAGUGGAUUCAGUAUAGACUUUUGAAAUUGAAAAAUUAGUCAGCUUUGUCAUCUCGUGAAAAUCUCUUAAACUCACCUCUUAGGAAAAUUUCACGUGAUGACUUGUUGAGUAUUCCUUAAUAUACAUGCACACUUGUCGGAAAUAAUGGUUGCAUUUGGUUUUCGUCGAACAAAUUAAACAUUCUUAAAGUGCAGCUAGGUGGGUUGUUGUUGCUCUCCGAAGGCUAUUCGAGGCGUUAUGCCAUUUCCUGAAAUUGAACGUUCAGAAAAUAUGGUACAUGUUCGCAAAUUGUUAAGAUCUAAUCAGGGUGGUACCAUAAAGCA